GAUGAACGCUGGCGGCGUGCCUAAUACAUGCAAGUCGAGCGAACAGAUGAGGAGCUUGCUCCUCUGACGUUAGCGGCGGACGGGUGAGUAACACGUGGAUAACCUACCUAUAAGACUGGGAAACUUCGGGAAACCGGAGCUAAUACCGGAUAAUAUAUUGAACCGCAUGGUUCAAUAGUGAAAGACGGUUUUGCUGUCACUUAUAGAUGGAUCCGCGCCGCAUUAGCUAGUUGGUAAGGUAACGGCUUACCAAGGCAACGAUGCGUAGCCGACCUGAGAGGGUGAUCGGCCACACUGGAACUGAGACACGGUCCAGACUCCUACGGGAGGCAGCAGUAGGGAAUCUUCCGCAAUGGGCGAAAGCCUGACGGAGCAACGCCGCGUGAGUGAUGAAGGUCUUCGGAUCGUAAAACUCUGUUAUUAGGGAAGAACAAAUGUGUAAGUAACUAUGCACGUCUUGACGGUACCUAAUCAGAAAGCCACGGCUAACUACGUG
rnacentral:rRNA from 1 species